rnacentral:rRNA from 1 species
GUAGUCCACGCCGUAAACGAUGGAUACUUGGUGUUAGAGGUAUUGACCCCUCUAGUGCCGAAGCUAACGCGUUAAGUAUCCCGCCUGGGAAGUACGGUCGCAAGAUUAAAACUCAAAGAAAUUGACGGGGGCCCGCACAAGCGGUGGAGCAUGUGGUUCAAUUCGAUGCAACGCGAAGAACCUUACCUAGGUUUGACAUGUACUGGAAGACUACCAGAAAUGGUGUCGCCUUCGGGCCGGUACACAGGUGCUGCAUGGCUGUCGUCAGCUCGUGUCGUGAGAUGUUGGGUUAAGUCCCGCAACGAGCGCAACCCUUGCCAUUAGUUGCCAGCAUUAAGUUGGGCACUCUAGUGGGACUGCCGACGUUAAGUCGGA